AGUGAACGCUGGCGGUAGGCCUAACACAUGCAAGUCGAACGGCAGCACAGAGGAGCUUGCUCCUUGGGUGGCGAGUGGCGGACGGGCGAGGAAUACAUCGGAAUCUACUCUGUCGUGGGGGAUAACGUAGGGAAACUUACGCUAAUACCGCAUACGACCUACGGGUGAAAGCAGGGGACCUUCGGGCCUUGCGCGAUUGAAUGAGCCGAUGUCGGAUUAGCUAGUUGGCGGGGUAAAGGCCCACCAAGGCGACGAUCCGUAGCUGGUCUGGGAGGAUGAUCAGCCACACUGGAACUGAGGCACGGUCCAGACUCCUGCGGGAGGCAGCAGUGGGGAAUAUUGGACAAUGGGCGCAAGCCUGAUCCAGCCAUACCGCGUGGGUGAAGAAGGCCUUCGGGUUGUAAAGCCCUUUUGUUGGGAAAGAAAUCCAGCUGGCUAAUACCCGGUUGGGAUGACGGUACCCAAAGAAUAAGCACCGGCUAACUUCGUGCCAGCCGCCGCAGUAA
rnacentral:rRNA from 1 species